CAGGACGAGCCGCAGACAAAACUCCUUAGACACCGGAUUGAAGAAGGCAGACUUGCGUCUCAAAAGCCGAGCUCACCGCAAUUCUAUGAAAGAAAAAAAUCCCAUUUUCCCAGGGAGAAACUGAACCAUUCUGACCUCUGGUUAUGGCUGUCAUCCAAACAGUUUAUAUAACCUGUCUGGGAAAUUGAAGAUUGUUCAUAUCUAACUCUGCAGUUACAAAAGGACCAUGUCUCAUGGAAUUAUCCACGCUCAGAUCUUCCGCAUGGCUCAAAACCAUUUUUGGGAUAUGGUAAUGUCAAGAUAACCCCUUAUUCUGUCAAGUAUUUAAAAAAAUUUU
rnacentral:lncRNA from 10 species